AUUGAACGCUGGCGGCAGGCCUAACACAUGCAAGUCGAACGAGUGGCGGACGGGUGAGUAAUGCCUGGUAAACUACCUGCUGGAGGGGGAUAAAUAAUGGAAACGGUAGCUAAUACCGCAUACCCUCAGAUGUGCCCAGAUGGGAUUAGCUAGUUGGUGGGGUAACGGACCACAAAGCCGACGAACCCUAGCUGGUCUGAGAGGAUGAACAGCGACACUGGAACGGAGACACGGUCCAGACUCCUAAGGGAGGCAGCAGGGGGGAAUAUUGCACAAUGGGCGAAAGCCUGAUGCAGCCAUGCCGGGUGUAUGAAGAAGGCCUUCGGGUUGUAAAGUACUUUAAGCGGGGAGGCGUUACCAGCAGAAGAAGCACCGGAUAACUCCGUGCCAGCAGCCGCGGUAAGAC
rnacentral:rRNA from 1 species